CGCUAGCACGUCGGUGCCGCCGCCGGCCUCCAGGCGGGAUUGAGGAGGAGCUCUAAAAAGACGAAGAAAGAUCUUCUCAUUUCCAGGAAUAUCAUUCAAGAUUUAGGAUGCUACGGGGACUUGGGUCACUAAUGAUUGGCUUUUAAAUACUGACAAUAUUCUUCAUAAAUUAAGAGUUUAAGACCAGAAGGGACUAUUGUGUCAUCUAGUCUGACCUCCUAUAUCACAGGUCACCAGACCAUCCAAUACCCACUCACUGCAUCCAACAACCAAAAUAUGAGCAAAGUAUUUUAGCCUAUAGGAAAUGAGAUUAUGUGCCACAGGCAGAGAAUAGGAAGAUCCAAGGUGCAUCAGUGCCUGAGGCUCCCACAGUGACAGAGAAAUGAUUUAGUGAGAUAUACCCAGAUAAUCCUG
rnacentral:lncRNA from 1 species